AGUAGAAGGACGCUCGUAGCUCACCCUCUCCCACAAAUACACCAAAACUCACAUCGACGGACCCACUCGGCCAAUCAGACCACCUGCGGAACUCCGACAGAACACCGCCCUCUUCGAAAGACAAAGACGCCCAAAAUCUGAGAACUCGCGCCACCAAGACUAAGAAGGAGCCGAGUUUUGGAAUGCAGCAGGGGCGGGGCGGUUCCACGGUCUUCCCCGAGCCCACCUACGGAGAGGAGCGCCGACCCGAGGCGGAGCACACAGCCGCACAGAGCAGCGGAGCGACCGGCGCCGGGAGAGGGCAG